ACUCAAAGUUUAAAUUUCAAAUGAAAAAAAUCCAAGUGACCCUAGUCUCCUUAUUUGUGUUAAAUUCAUCAGCCCUUGUUCAUCGUAUCAUUUGCAUCAUUUGCCUCUAUCUCCAUGGAAAAUCGAUGCAAAGGAAUAUUUUCAAAAGAAACCUGUAGGAAGAAAUAGUAUAUAUUUAUUAGUCUUACUUAAGAUUUGAUCAGGCUUACUUAGAGGAUAAUAUGGUGUGAAACCUGUCCUAUGCAUUUUCUCCUCUUGUCUUUCUGUCUUUCUACCUUUUUCAUAAUUUUUCAUUUUUUUUAGUUUCAUCACAAUAAAAGGCCACUUUUGUAUCAAUUGAAUAAAUACCACAUUUAUUCAAAAUUGUAUAUAAUAUACCAUGUAUGUAGAAAAUUAGAUGUAUGUAUGUAAAUAUCUGUGUUUGAUAAACAACCCUAAUGUAUCUGUUCUGUGUGUACACUAACUUUGAACUUGGCAUUCACAAAUGUUUAUUGUGUAAUGUCAUUUUGUGUAUCUUUCAGUACAUUGAAAUCUUGCUGCAAGUCAAUGCUCACAAUACUGUUUCAUUGUCUUGUUUUGUAUUAAUCAAAUGCAGAAGUGUUCAUUAUACAGAGCAGGUACCCUGGUACUUCUGUUCUACCAGGUACUAUUGUACUACGUGUUUCACUUUGACAGCUAUGUUAUAAAUGCAUGCUAUAAAACAUAUGUUGAUAUUGAAAAACUUAACGAUAAAUUAAGGGAUUUUUAAAACAUGUUGAUAAAGAUGGUUUUAUUGAAACUUUUAUUUUCCAAAAAGGGAAGAAAUGGGAUAUUAUUAAAACAAAUCCAAUAAUUUUGAUUUUAUUCAUUCAUUGUUAGAUAUUUUUAAAUUUUCUUUUAAAUCUGCAAUAAAUUGUCUAUUAUUUGGUU
rnacentral:misc_RNA from 1 species